rnacentral:tRNA from 1 species
ACCCUGACACCACCCGCAGGGAAGAGCA